GAUGAACGCUGGCGGCGUGCCUAAUACAUGCAAGUCGAGCGAACAGAUGAGGAGCUUGCUCCUCUGACGUUAGCGGCGGACGGGUGAGUAACACGUGGAUAACCUACCUAUAAGACUGGGAUAACUUCGGGAAACCGGAGCUAAUACCGGAUAAUAUAUUGAACCGCAUGGUUCAAUAGUGAAAGACGGUUUUGCUGUCACUUAUAGAUGGUUCCGCGCCGCAUUAGCUAGUUGGUAAGGUAACGGCUUACCAAGGCGACGAUGCGUAGCCGACCUGAGAGGGUGAUCGGCCACACUGGAACUGAGACACGGUCCAGACUCCUACGGGAGGCAGCAGUAGGGAAUCUUGCGCAAUGGGCGAAAGCCUGACGGAGCAACGCCGCGUGAGUGAUGAAGGUCUUCGGAUCGUAAAACUCUGUUAUUAGGGAAGAACAAAUGUGUAAGUAACUAUGCACGUCUUGACGGUACCUAAUCAGAAAGCCACGGCUAACUACGUG
rnacentral:rRNA from 1 species